rnacentral:lncRNA from 1 species
GGGGCUGCUUCCGGCCAGUUUUUGGCUUCGCUCCAGAAGGACAGUUUGGUCGGCCUUAAUUUCCGACCCUACCCAUCCUUGUUCCGUUCGAUUCCAACAACUUUCAGUUUUUCUGGCGACUUUUCCGGCAGCUACAGAGAGACUUUCCGGCCAGAAUUUCAAAAAUUUUCUUCAGGACAGUAUCAUCACCCUCGAAUUCAGAGCCUACUCAUGUUUUUACUUUUCAAUUCCGACAACUUUGAAGUUUUUCCGGCAU